rnacentral:rRNA from 1 species
GAUCCUGGCUCAGAAUGAACGCUAGAAGUAUGCAUAACACAUGCAAGUUGAACAAAUAUAAAUAUAUUGUAUUAGUAGCGAACGGGUGCGUAAUAUACAAGAAUUUACCUUUUAAUUUGGGAUAACUGAGUAAUAUCAGCUAAUACCAAAUAUUUGCACAAACUGCAAAAAAAGAUUGUAUCGUUAAAAGAUAAGCUUGUACAGGAUUAGGUAGUUGGUAGGGUAAUAGCGUACCAAGCCUAUGAUCCUUAGCUAGUCUGGGAUGGAUGAAUAGCCACACUGAAACUGAGACAAGGUUCAGACUUCUACGGAAGGCAGCAGUGGGGAAUCUUGGACAAUGAGCGAGAGCUUGAUCCAGCAAUACUUCGUGUGUGAUCAGAAGAAUAGGAGACUAUUUGUAAAGCACUAUCAGUAAAGACGAAAUUGACUGUAUUUACAGAAGAAGCUCCGGCAAAUUUCGUGCCAGCAGCCGCGGUAAUACGAAAGGAGCAGGUGUUAUUCAGAUUAACUGGGCGUAAAGGGCACGUAGGUGGUUUGUUAUGUGUACUAUAAAAUUAUAAAGCAUAACUUUAUGAGGUAGUAUAGACAACAAAACUUGAGUUAGGUAGAAGGUAGUAGAAUUUCUAAUGUAAAGGUGAAAUUUGAUAAAAUUAGAGAGAAUACCAAUGGCGUAGGCAACUAUCUGGGCCUUAACUGACACUGAGGUGCGAAGGUAUGGGGAGCAAAUAGGAUUAGAUACCCUAGUAGUCCAUACAGUAAACGAUGAAUAUUAAAUGUUGGGAAUACUCUCAGUAUUAUAGCUAACGCGUUAAAUAUUCCGCCUGGGGAGUACAACCGCAAGGUUGAAACUUAAAGGAAUUGACGGGGAUCUAAACAAGCGGUGGAACAUGUGGUUUAAUCCGAUACUACGCGUAAAAUCUUACCAGUUUUUGUAUAAUAUACAGGUGUUGCAUGGCUGUCGUCAGUUCGUGUUGUGAAACGUUUGGUUCAGUCCUUUAAACGAACGUAACCCCUAUUUUUUGUUGCUAAAUUAAAUUUUAACGAUAAUUUAAUAAGAACUCAAAAAAAUUGCUUAUGAUAUAUAAGAUGAAAGUGGGGAUGACGUCAAGUCGUCAUGGCCCUUAUAAACUGGGCUACACACGUGUUACAAUAGUUACUACAAUAAGAAGCAAAAAUGUAAGUUCGAGCAAAUCUGGAAAAGUAAUUUAAGUCCGAAUUGUUCUCUGUAACUCGAGAACAUGAAGUUGAAAUCGCUAGUAAUCACAAAUUAGUACGUUGUGGUGAAUAUGUUCUUAGAUCUUGUACACACCGCCCGUCACACCCUGGAAAUUGGUUUUAUUUUAAAUAUAUGUUUAUAACCUAAUAAAGACCUUUAAAGUAACAUUAGGAGUUUCAGUAUCAGAAUAGAAUUAGUAACUGUGGUGAAG